rnacentral:rRNA from 1 species
AGCGAACGUUAGCGGCGCGCCUAACACAUGCAAGUCGCACGAGAAAGGGGGCAACCCCCGGUACAGUGGCGCACGGGUGAGUAACACGUGGGUGAUCUGCCCAGAAGAAGGGGAUAACCUCUCGAAAGGGGGGCUAAUACCGCAUAGGACCACCGGGGCCCUGGCUCCGUGGUUAAAGGGGGCCUCUGUUUACACGCUCCCGCUUCUGGAUGAGACCGCGUCCCAUCAGCUAGUUGGUAGGGUAAUGGCCUACCAAGGCUACGACGGGUAGCGGGUCUAAGAGGAUGGCCAGCCACAAUGGAACUGGGACACGGUCCAGACGCCUACGGGAGGCAGCAGUGGGGAAUCUUGCGCAAUGGGCGAAAGCCUGACGCAGCGACGCCGCGUGGGUGACGAAGGCCUUCGGGUUGUAAAGCCCUGUGGGGUAGAACGAACUGGCAUCGGGCUACUAUCUCGGUGUCUUGACGGUACUGCCUUAGCAAGCAUCGGCUAACUCUGUGCCAGCCGCCGCGGUAACAC